GGGCUUAUGGUCUAGUUGGCAUGACGUCUCGUUUGCAGAAAAAUAUAUAUACUGGGUACACCAUGCUGCUCCUUAUACCGUUUCUUUCUCAGGUUCGAGAAGGUGCUGGAUUCGAUCUCCAGUACGUCCA